CGCCGCCCCAUGCGCCCCGCUCCGCGGCGGGAACCGGUGCCCCUCGGGCGGAGGAAGGGACCCCCCCACACAGGGGCCACCUGAGGCGGCUCCCAAGAGCUCCCUCAGCUGCACUGCACCGCCCCAACCAGCCUGAAGGGAGAAGCAACCGAGGAGCAGAGAGACCACGCACCCUCGCAGCGCCUGCAGCUCAGCCCGGCUCUUCUCGCCUCCUCCCCAGCCUGCCAGGUCCUUCGCCCUUCAAAACUUUCCCUGAUGUUGUUGUGCCAGCCUCGUGUGGGUGCGUCGCCUCCGUGCUUUCCUGCUCCGCCCGCCUCGCAGAGGAUUUGCAGCUGUACAGGGGCCCGUGCCUCUCUCCCUCGACGGCUGCCGGAGCUCCUAAUGGGAACUAACGGGCUGCAACUGGAGGGGAGCCGGCAAUGCGGGACAAGAAGAUGGACAAAGUUGAGCUACUCCUGCCAGACGUCAGCUGGAAACCGCUUAGGAGGUCUCUACCCCACCGCUGUUUCCUGAAGAGCCAAAAUCUCCUGCAGAAGUUGCCGGGAACGUCACCGCUCCCCACCGGCCCUGGGCCACUCCGCUCCACCUCCCUCCGACGGGGCGUCCGGGGCUGCCCGCGCCCGCCAGCGGGGCUGGCCCGAGGGCGCCUCACACCUGCCUGCCGGGUCUGCCAGCCUCGCCUUAUUUUCUACUCUGUUGGCUUUCCAGGUUUUCCCCCUACCCUCUUCAUCAUUUCAUCCCUUUCUCUUAAAAAAAAAAAAAAAAAAAAAAAAAAAAAAAAAAAGAGCCAAUUAAAGCCGGUGUGCUGGGGAGAGCCCUGCCUCCUAACCAAUUCUGCGAGCUUCCCCACGCCUCGCCCUGGCCCAAUGAUAGACAAGACCGCAGGAAUGGGAGAAAAAGGGAUUUGCUUCGGGCGGGAGACCGAUUGUCAGUCCGGGGUACUCUCAUCCUUAGGACCCUCGCGGCAAGGUCGGCUUCUCCCGGCUGGGACUUGAGAUGCCAAGAGAUGGGGGGCAGCGCAGGUUUCCGGGGUGUCUCCCGUGCUGGUGCUCGUUGGUGCCAGCAAAGUUUCUGGGGCCCCCCAGGUAGGUUGCAGGCUGGCGGGGCUGCCCUGUGCAUGCUGCGGAGGAGCGGCGGGGCGCGGCGCUCCUGCGGGGCGGGGGUGCUGUGCGGGGCCCCAGCCCGGUGCGCGGCUGCGAGGGCCGCGAUACUCGCCGGACAGCCGGCCCGGGUUGUGGUGAUGCUCCGACGUGAAAUCUGGAGCGGGGAAGCUGUGCAUGCCCCGCUCCCCGUGCCCCCGCGUAGGGCCCGAGCGAGAGGCCGGGAGGAGGAGGAAGAUGCUGAGCGAGCCCCGAGCAUCACCACCGGCAGCGCCGGCUACGCGGGGCCCUGCCUUUACCAUCUCUAUCUCCGGCUGCUUUGCUAGGGAGAUAAAAUACUGCUUCUGGGAAGCCUAGACUUGCUUGCCCCUGAGCUGGCGAGCCCACUCGUGCCUGUCCCGGGUCCAUAGCAAUGAGCCAGACCGUAAAGCAGAGCCAGCGCCGUGGAAACCCCCCUUAGCGGCGCAUUCUGCUCCCGGGUGCCGGACUCCGGCUCGCCUUUUCCCCAGCGAUGGCUUAGCUGGGGUUCCCGUGUACGGGAUGAUGCGGGUGUCCCUUAGCGACAGCGAGUCCUCUCUGGCUCUUCCUCGGGACUGGCCCCUGCGCGCCCCAGCCUCGGCCACGCGUGGGCUUGGCGCGCUGCCCCCGGGGGCUUCCGGCCCUGCCCCGCGGCUCUGCAUCCACGCCCUCUCCCCGCGGCAGCUGACGAGGGAUGCGGGACCCGGCAGACACUGAUUUGUCAUGUGAACAGGUCACUCCCUGGAUUAAAAAGUAAUUUAAAAAAAAUCAAAAGAUACGGCCCAAAGAGCCACCAGUGGCUCAGUCAUGCUCUAUCAAACAAGCAAUUAAUAGGUAUGCCCCUAAUUAGCAAGUAGUUACUUCUAUUGUAGACGGUGCUCAGUCAGAAAGAGAAAAGCAGUAGCAUGCACCAGGAAGAGAGCAGCGAUACAGACAGGACACCAUCACCGUAGGGCCCAGAGUCCCCCCCAGUGCCCUGCAUCCAUGCACGUGGAAGGCACGGCAGGCAAUUUACCACUGGACUCUAUUCUAUCACUUACCAGGAUACCACCAGUAUGAAACUGCCUUGUUUGUUUUUGUGGUGGUUUAGGUUUCCCUUGUAUUUAUUUUUGUUAUAACUAAGGGAAAAUUUGCCAGGAAACUGUGGUUUUCACACUCUUAAGAUGCCUUUUCCAUAGCUGAUAGCAUAGAGCAGGGCACCUGUGGAAGCACCUGAUAUGAGAAAAUUUAUUCUUUAAUACAAUAAACCCUUGGCUGAAAAGGAUUUAUUCCUCCCUGCAGUGGGUGGUUGAAGCAUUAAUAAAGGGUGUAUAGGUAGAAGGAGGCAGCCAGCACUAGAAGUACAGGUGCAUCAACCCCUUUGCCACGCCAUGAGGAGAAGCAGGAGCUGAUAAUAGUUAGACAAAACAAAAUUGACAACAUCUCCACAAAGCAGGCUGAAGGCAACCCAAGGAAAA